rnacentral:rRNA from 1 species
GAUGAACGCUGGCGGCGUGCCUAAUACAUGCAAGUCGAGCGAACAGACGAGGAGCUUGCUCCUCUGACGUUAGCGGCGGACGGGUGAGUAACACGUGGAUAACCUACCUAUAAGACUGGGAUAACUUCGGGAAACCGGAGCUAAUACCGGAUAAUAUAUUGAACCGCAUGGUUCAAUAGUGUAAGACGGUUUUGCUGUCACUUAUAGAUGGAUCCGCGCCGCAUUAGCUAGUUGGUAAGGUAACGGCUUACCAAGGCACCGAUUCGGAGCCGACCUGAGAGGGUGAUCGGCCACACUGGAACUGAGACACGGUCCAGACUCCUACGGGAGGCAGCAGUAGGGAAUCUUCCGCAAUGGGCGAAAGCUUGACGGAGCAACGCCGCGUGAGUGAUGAAGGUCUUCGGAUCGUAAAACUCUGUUAUUAGGGAAGAACAAAUGUGUAAGUAACUAUGCACGUCUUGACGGUACCUAAUCAGAAAGCCACGGCUAACUACGUG